CAUGCGGCGCAUUAGCUAGUUGGCGGGGCAACGGCCCACCAAGGCGACGAUGCGUAGGGGUUCUGAGAGGAAGGUCCCCCACACUGGUACUGAGACACGGACCAGACUCCUACGGGAGGCAGCAGUGAGGAAUAUUGGUCAAUGGGCGCAGGCCUGAACCAGCCAAGUCGCGUGAGGGAGGACGGUCCUACGGAUUGUAAACCUCUUUUGUCGGGGAGUAACGUGCGGGACGGGUCCCGUAUUGAGAGUACCCGAAGAAAAAGCAUCGGCUAACUCCGUGCCAGCAGCCGCGGUAAUACGGAGGAUGCGAGCGUUAUCCGGAUUUAUUGGGUUUAAAGGGUGCGCAGGCGGCGCGCCAAGUCAGCGGUCAAAGUUCCGGGCUCAACCCGGUGUCGCCGUUGAAACUGGCGUGCUCGAGUGCGUGCGAGGAAGGCGGAAUGCGUUGUGUAGCGGUGAAAUGCAUAGAUAUGACGCAGAACUCCGAUUGCGAAGGCAGCUUUCCAGCGCGCUACUGACGCUGAGGCACGAAAGCGUGGGGAUCGAACAGGAUUAGAUACCCUGGUAGUCCACGCAGUAAACGAUGA
rnacentral:rRNA from 1 species